rnacentral:lncRNA from 1 species
UAACAGAUCACGGGGUGAUCUCAUCGUAUAUAUUACGAUUCAAUUCUAUGACUAUGAUCGUUUUGUUUUACGAUCUCCUAUCACUGAACUUUUGUUCACCACUUCUGUUCACCACUAUUACCAGAGUUAGGGAACUCUGUAUCUUAACAACUUACCGAGAUUCAUCUUUGAAUCUUACCGACCAACUAACUCUAUGUGAGUUAGAUCUUAUCCUAAUCAUUGCGGUUAUUGGUCUCAGGUAUUCC